rnacentral:lncRNA from 1 species
AAUACAGAGGGAGAAGGACACAGAACACAUUUAUGAGUCUUUUCACCCUCAUUUCGUUGAAGAUUUUAUUGGCCGAAGAACCCUCAGUAGGCACGAAAUUCAUUCUCACAAGCAGAGAGAUGCAUUAUGCUCCAUUUAUUGCUCAUCCUAAAUUAUAAACAUUUCCAGUGAAUGUAAAGGAAGAUAUGAUUGAAAAGGACUCUGUGAAGACAGGAUGUUUCUGUACAGUCCUUGUAUCUGCUCACCUAUUCCAAACUUUCCAGAGAUUUUACCAGAGGUUUAAGAUAUUCUCCUGAGGGUUUGCUGUAGAGAGAUUUUUCUUAACUAAGGAGUGCAAGUAGCAAGCAAUAGCCCACCCAGUUGGAGACAAAAAAGAAGGGUGUCAGUGUUCCCACUGUUAAAAAACAAAAAAAAAUCACCCUGGACACCUCUGAGAAUUAUACAAGGGGAUGUACACAGCCCUGCUUUAUUUGAGUUCAAAAGGAAGGUGGGUUUUGAAAGAAGAACAAGGAGAGUAGAUCUCUCUGGAUCUUCUGAUGCUCACAGCAAAGAGCUCAAGGUAUCUGAGUCAACUCUUGAGGCUUCUUCGAACAGAGGGAUGAAGAGAGAAUAUGGCAAGCUUGCCAACAGAUCCCAGAAGUUUUAAGAGAAAAGAACAGAUUGCUCUUUGCAAAACAAACCGAGCUGGGUGCAUGGAGCCCCAGUAGACAGAAAGUGAAGAAAACAUCAACGUUCUGAAGUUUUAGAUAGGUGCACCAUCCCUUAUGGAUACCAAUCUGUGCUCCCCAUAAACUUCUGUGCCCAGGGUCAACUGGCCAGGGACAACUGGCUCACCAGGAGGCCUACAUAGCCUCUUCUUCAGGCCCUAAUUACAGCUCUAUGCAAUAGGGACUCUGCCAUCUGACAGCCAAGGAGGUGGUUCGGUUUCUGCACAUGGUUUUUUCCGCUGGGUCCCUUGAGGUCCAUGGUAACCUCUUCCUCAUUCUCUACAGGCAGAUCACACUUUGUAAUAAGAUCAGAGGCAGAGAACUUUGACCAGAUCACACUUUAUAAUAAGAUCAGAGGCAAAGAACUCUGACCAGAUCACACUUUAUAAUAAGAUCAGAGGCAGAGAACUUUGACAACUAUCUCCUUGCCCUCUGGCCCUGGGGUCAGGGCUACUCAAACAACACCUGCUGUCCCAAACCCGGAGAAGUGUAGAUUUUGGCACUGGUAGAGGAAUAACAGCUAUUGUUGACACUUAAUCUUGUGGGCCUGGAAUUUCAACUAUGUUUUCACAACUCGGAGCCUAUUGCUGCCACCUCUGUCAGGGAAGAUAAAUGGGCAUGAAUAAUAGACAGAUGAGUUUCCCAAAAGCCCAGACAGGCUGCAGGGAACACGUAAUGAGCAGACAGUGUGGUUCACGCCGGGGAGCCCAGGUUUAUCCAGGCCUCAUCCUCACUCCCUUUCUCUACUGAUAAUUGGACCCAACAGGACCAUUCCGAAUCAUUUUUCUCUCUUCAGUUAUUCUUCAGUUCUACUCAAAGGGUCAGUUUAGGGCAUAAUUAAAGUCAAUUACUUUCUGAAAGGCCAUCAGGACAACUGUUAGAGAAAAUGAUAGCAGCCCCGCACUUGCUGUAGGAAUUAUUAGCUUGUCAGCCUCCAGGCUUAUGGAGACAAAGGAUCAAAAAGUUAGAGAGAUCCAGGUGUUCACCUAUUUGUUCACUAAUUCUUUUAUUGUGAGUGUGCAUGUGUGUGGGUGGGUGUGACAUUUAUUAUGAACCAGAGGGCAGGAGCCAGUGACACAGUGGUGCAGAGAAUAAUCAUAUUCCCUGCCUUCCUGGGGUCAUACAGCUUGGUGGAGGACACAGAUGUGAAUUCGGUAAUCACUCCAAUAAAUAUUCUCCUACAGAUGAAGAAAGAUGAUACGAUGUGAUGGACAACAGAGACUUAUAUGGUGGGGUCUGGGCUGGUCUUUCUGAAGCUAAGACUGGCAGGAUGAGCAGGAGUUUGCCAGACAAAGAGGAGUGGAGUUGUUUUCCAAACACAUCUCAGCACAAAGUGUUGUCUUUGCUGGGAGCUGAAAAAAGAUAGUGUGGGCAGAGACCAUUAGGUGAGACGCUUGAUAUGAGAUACAACCUCAACAGGUGGAAGAAGAUCAUGAGAGAUGAAGAGAGGAAUAUAGUACAGCAGAGAGGACACAGAAGCUGACGUCAGGGUGUCUCAGUUUGAAACCAGUGGCCACCCUGUUCCUCUCCCAUGUGGUCCCAUCAUGGGCCUCUAGGGUCUGGGAUAAGAGGUUAAUGAAUAUCUCAUACCCUAAGCAGGGGUGGUCCCUGCACUUUAGCAAAAAGUUAAGGAACUAGGGAAAAGAGAUGGAAAUAAUAAAGAGAUGGGACAAAGACUUUGAAGACCAAAGCCCCUGGGCUAUUCUCUUUUUUAAAUUUUUUUAUUUAAAUUUUCAUUUAUUUUUAUCAAGAUAGGGUCUCACUAUGUUGCCCAGGUUGGUCUCAAACUUUUGGCCUAAAGCAAUCCUCCCACCUUGGCCUCCCAAUGUGCUGGGAUUACAAUGUGAGCCACCACGUCCAGCCUCCUGGGAUAUUUCUCAAUGAAACAUUGGAUGCCAAGAUUGGUUUUGUGCCACAUGCCAAUUUCACAGAAGCCAGUCUAUGAGCCACCAGCUCUACUCAGCAAUUACAGUUUCUGGAACUUUGGCUAAAUUCCUGUAGAUGCACCACUGCUUGUGGCCUGACUCUUUGCCACCCAAGUGCGCUCAGCCUCCCCUGGGGAGUCUGCCAGGCUUGCAUGGCUCCCACUGCACUUGCUGUGCUGGGACCGAAAACAGUUUUUGUGCCCCUAGCUUAACUCCACUGGAUUCAUAGAGGCUUUGGCCUCCUCAAUGGCUGUCCUGGGACAGGGAGGCUGGUUAGCACAAUUAACACAACCUGGUCAUGCAAGGCAUUGAUGGUCCGUAACAUGAACUUUGACCAGUAGGAGACAGAGAAUGGAAAAAAGCCAGCAGAUAAAUCAUCUGGCCUUCCUCCCCUAUGACAGACUGUUCUGAGCCACAGUGUUUCACAUGUCUUCCUGGAGAUGUCCCACAUGACUUGAGCAACCAGCUGGAGCUCUGGAGAAACUGUGGCCAUCCUGAGGAAGAAACAGGCCCAGAGAAGUUGGGUAACUCAUCAAAGGUCACAGAGCUAAGAGUGGCAGAGUCAGGCCUGGAGCCCAGGAAGUCUGGUUUCGAAUUUCAUGCUUCUAACCUGAGCACUGUACUGCUUGGUGGAGUUCUCUGCUAGUCCUACCUUUCAGGCAGAGGUGAUGCAGCAAGAAAGCUGCCACCAGAUGCAGCCCCUUGAUCUCGGACUGCCCAGCCUCUAGAACUGAGUUGAAGAGCAAUUCCCUCCAGUUUCCAUUAGAAAUGCUUCUUCUUCCAUAUCAAAUAUUGUGAGAUAGCCUGAAACACCUUUCAACACUUUACUACCCUUCUCCAAAAUUCAACAGAUAUGAUUUCCACGGACUUUACUCACAGGGGCUUCAGUAGAAGAGGAAGAGGCUUGGGUUUAAUUGAAGGUGGCCUGAGACAUCUGUGAGGAACAGCCCUUUUAGAGACAUAUCCCCUACAAAUAAAGCAUCAGAAUUAUUAUCCUAAUACAUGAACAUCC